UUGAAAUGUUACAUUUGCAUGUCUGUGUAUAGUAGGCAUGAAUUUCAUUGUUGAUGUUUUGGUUUGCACUGGCUAAAUAAGAAAAUGUGCGUUCAACAGGCAGACCACAAGGCCUGGGGAAUUUUCAUUGUUUGCAUCACAUUAAUGCCGAGGUUGUGCCGGGGAUUACCAUGUUUCCAAAUUAUGAAGAUGCAUUUCUGGCAUCAACCAAAUUUUAAACCAUGAAUCAUGACAGAUGAUGCAGUUAUGCUAUUUGAAAAGGUCAGCAUUACUUUCGUAGGGAAUUAUUAAUUUAAUAUGGUAGCGUACAUUUACUAAUUUGCAUUCCAAUUAAUUAGAGCAAACAUCACUUGGCAAAUGAACUGGUCAGCGUUAAGGUCGCGUCUUGGAUAGCAAAAGCCACAAGACUAGCACGUGCUUUCAAAACAUCUAUCCCCACGCCUGCUACAUGAUAUGUUGAUGCUCCCGGUGUCAUCCUAAAGAGUCUUCGAAGAAUGUUUAGGAACAUGAUUAUGCAAAACACCACUGUAUUGACGUGCCCUGGAGACCAUCGUCUUCUACUGGCUAAUGCAGCGUGAACCAUAAUGUGACCAUUUCGACUGUUCAGGUAUUUGGUUUACCCGCUAAUUGAGAAAGUUGAACUUUUCUUCACAAAAGCAAUGCUGGCAUCUUCAAAUAACCAAUCAGCAGAGGCUUCUAGAACACUGCAUUCUGCUGCUGAUGAUCUUUUAAAAAAUUUGGUGCACAUAAUCUGAAGCGCUCGAUGUAGUGAAGACAUUGCAAUUGCCAAGCAUCAAGUUUCACUUUACCAACGUGUGACCUAGUUUAUGAAUCAUAUUAAUGGGGACUGGGGCAAAACAUACAAGAAACUUGCAGUUGUGCUUCCUCUUUCACGAGUCAGUGCUUUUGACUAAUACUAAUAUGCCAUCGAAGUGCACUUGACCAGAAAAUCAGGCCCAUCAUUCUAUUGUAUGAAAAAUGUUCCAUUGUUCAUUGUUCAUAGAAGGGUGCUCGUGGACCUUGCUUUUGGACACUGUGUUUUCCUGAUUUCUUUGGUUUUUUAGAGGGGGGUUGAGAUGGGGUCAGUGUUGUGUAAAGUAUGAUCUGUUUGUAACAAACUCCUGUAUGUUUUGUUUGUUUUUUAAAAAAAUAAACACACAGCACCCGUCCAGCUGCCAAGGGACCUGACCUUAAGGCAGCUGCAGUCCUCGAGCGGCGGCCAUCACAGAGGUGGAAGCGGCGGCAAGCAACGCAAGUUUAUCUGCGAAUACUGCCCAUACACAAGCGACUAUAGGGCCAAGCUGAAUCGCCACAUGCGGCUGCACACUGGCGAGCGGCCGUACCAGUGCGAGGUCUGCGGCCGAGCGUUCACACGCAAGGACCACCUGCAGAAGCACCUGCCUACCCACGACGGCCGCGUGCUCAAAGACAGCCUCUCGAGUGACCACCACCACCAUAACAAUAACGGCAACGGCACCUUAGCCAGCGCCGCUAGCUUCCUGGGCAGCCUGCUCAGUGCCACCUCCCAGCACCCCUACCGGUGCAAGCUGUGCGGCCGUGGCUUUAUCCAGAAGCACCAUUACGAGCGUCAUGCUAAGACCCACGACGACCACUUUGUCGACUAUUAGCUGCACCUCCCCAGCCUUUUCGUUCAGUAACAACGGCUUUGCCGAGGCUGUGCUCAUAGCCUCCAUAGAGUGCUCAUAGAGAUGCGUCAGGUCCGUUCGUUACUGUGCAAGCUGGCACCCACAGUGGAGCAACCAGUACUAAUGCUGUGCCACUAACGGGCACUCUGGUUGACUUCGAGUUUUUCAGUGAAGCCAAUGACCUCAAUUGGGAAUACGCUGAGCUGACACUAAAGCCGGUUUCGUGCCAGUGCGAAAUGCAGACAGUGCAAAAUGUAGUGCGAUGAAGAACUCAGCGAUAUUCCGCAUUUCUAGAGAUGAGUUGCCCUUGUUUACUUGACUAUGGAUUAGUAUAAAUUCAUAGUUUGUGCUGAAACUGCCCAAUGUGGACAACAUAGCUUAGUGCAAUCAUUUGCAGACACUCACAAGCUGGGUUGUAUCAGGUUUUGUGGCUUUGAUGAUGGAUGGCAGUUAAAGCAUUUGUCUUAUAGGCCUAGAUUAGAGAGAGGCGAAGGCUGCCAGGGGAGUGUAAUUGCAUCCCAGAAGCAUGUUCUUAACUCCAUUGAUGACUGGCUUAGCAGCUGGCUACAGUUGGCUCGUCUUGAAGAGGCUGUUUGCUUUGCGGCUGGCCGCUGCUGCUUACCUUGUCUCUAUGAAAGAGCCAGGACGAAGUGCAAUCUUGUGAAUACUGCUGCCUCCAAUCCAGCUUUGUACAGCGCAUCCUUUAAGAAAUGGGAAUCUUGCUAGCAGACUGGUGCUGUUCUUAAUGUUUGCGUGCCCAGUGAUUGUGUGGCGAGCUUGUCAGGCCCAGUUGAAUUGUGUUUAUUGUGACUUGACUUGAUGUUGUGUGUGUGUGACUCAAUUUCAAUGGCCCACCGCUAGAUCUUUAUGCAGUUCUCUGAAGCUUGGCUUUUCUGGAGUACAAAGAGGCGCAAAUAUCGCCCCUAUUAAUUAUGGAUUCAUCAAGCAAUGGGGGCGGGCGCUCUUUUGUCGCACUUGUCUGUGCAAUGCAAUGCCACUAGUCAAACACAAAAAAAAAUGCAGUUUUAAAAUCGCGGUGCAAUUUUAUCUCGUAUCGUGCCAUGCACUAACACUUUCGCUAACUCCUAAUGAGUUUUUAAACGUGUUCCAAGCACAUUGCUCAACCAGUUCUGGAAUUAUAGUUGAAUGCUGUUGAGCACCAGUCAUGUUUAUGGGCAGCUUGCAAAGGAUUUCUCUUCAUAUAAAUGCGGAGAUUGUUUUUCUGCAAAUGAAUUCUUAAUUCACCAUCACUAAAUUGCCUCACGGUGUCUCUAGAAGUGAGAGAGAAGAAAUCUGUGAAGGAACACAAGUGCAAAACAGUUUUGUUGGUGCUAUUAAGAAGGCCUUCAUAAUGGAUUCUGGAAUGGGUUUAAGCAGUGCAAAAAGUGUUCCAUGUACAUUUAUUUACUUCUGUUCAAAAGUCUGAAAGUGUCUUGAUAGGAAACAUAUUAAACUACGCAGUGCAACCACUUGUAACGUGUACUUUCAGUUGGCUGCCUCAGACUAAGCUACAUUAAGAACUACAAUUCGGAUUUUUGUUGUUUCAAGCCAGCGUGAUGUUGAACCCAGUGCAAUGUUGAAGAUCUUCACUCUGCAAAUGUAGUUAUUUCACGGCACUCUUUCUUUCACAGUGGCACCGUUUUUUCCGUUGCCUCACAGCCUGCAAAUCCUGUUGCAUGAGUGUUAAAUAGAACACGUUAUGUUUAACUGAAUUUUCAAAGGUUCUAUACAUCUUACACGCGUAUACAAUCUUUGCUUUGAUGGCAAUCUCAGUACCAGUAAUCUGUUGAUAAUAGCGAGAAAGAGUUUCUGACAAUCCGAUGAUAUUGAUAGAGUAUUGAUAUUUUGUAGUGCAAAAAUUUCGUUGGGUACAAAUGCGUCACUGCAGCCAAACGUUUUAUCGCGUUUCGCGUCAGUUUAUUGUAAAGACAGUGAACCAGAACGUAGCUUCAUGUGCUGAAGGAGAUUGCACCUGAACUGUUCACAGUGAAUCGGAAGCAUUCACAAGCCACUCGAGGUGCUCAGUGCCACAUCAUUUGGGGUUUCAUUCUAUGGGCGCUUCGUAGGCAUUUCUGAUCUCGAUUCGUGAGGUACGAUACUUCACUCGCGUGACAAUCUCGUUUUAGUACAGGCCAUGGUCAUCUGAUCAGCAGUAUGUAAUGUCGAGGUGUGAAGGCAAUCUGUUUAAAAAAGAUGUCACUGACGAUACUACGGAUAAACUUGUUAGCGAAAACACUUAAUCGCAGAGAACAUCCUCAUGACUAGUAACUAUACGCAUGACUUUCACAAAAUUGCAAUCAUGGUCAUCUAUCUGUGUGUUACGGUUUAACACGAAGCCACUUGUUUUCUUUUUGUUCAAUCACAUUGAAACAUACAAGCUGUCAUUUCUUUUGCGGUCAUUUCACCUUUUCAGAAUUGAAAUUUGAGUAAGUUCUGUAUAGACUUAAGAUUUCCGAUUCUCUUUAUUUGAUUCUUUAAUCUCAGGGUGAAGUCAGAAGGACGAGAGCUCUCAAUGACUUCUGAAGUUUCAGUUUCAUUAUUUGUUAUUUACUGUAAAGUGCAGUGAUUUUCCUUUUUAAUACUGCUUGCAAAGAGUGCAAUCGUGUAUUUUGUUUUUGUUGUUACAUUUGAAAUCUAUCUCUUUUCCUUUUUUUGUUGUUAUCGCGAAGCUGCGAUACUUGUCACUUAGCUGCGCUCACGUGGUGCCAUAUUUAUUUAACUUGUUGUUAUCUAAUAGUCAGCAUGUGCAGGCAGCACAAAAAAUAUGUUAAUGAUGCAGGCCAGCUAAUCCCACGACGAGUUGUUACUUCAUGUCUUUUUAUUUCGUCGCUGUGUUUUCCAAAAUGUUCUAAAAGCCAAAGUCCUUGUUAGUUUCGGCCGAGCGGUCUUUCGUGGUCGAGAAGGCGUGCGAGCCAGCGUCUCUCACGUCGUACCAUCAUCGCAAACUUCAUGCAAUCUCGUGUCAUCAAGCCGUUGUUUCAGAGCCUUGCCAGGUUCCCACACUCGUUUUCCUCUUUUUUACAUGCAUGUUAAUUUUACAUAGUUUCAGCUUUCUGAAAAAAAAAGGAAAGAAAGAAUUAGGUGUUUCCUUCUAUUUAUUGUUUCAUUGUAGUUCUGAAAGAACUUGAGGCUGUGUCGUGUUGAUUUGCUAGUUUGCAUCAAGAGACCCUUUUCUAUCGUUCGAUAGCCUGAAACCUGACAAUCCUUUUAGAAAGUUAUAGUACAGUACGGCUCGCGAGUGUUCUCACAAACAUACCUCCAGCCUCUGCUCACCUUGGAUCUCGAGCCUGUCUGCUAGCAGAGUAGUAUAACUGCUCUACUUACAAUACAAACUGGUGCUAAUGCUUGCUUUUCAUUUCUUUUGUGUAAGCUAUCGCAAUGCAGCCACAUACUUAUAGCUCGUUUGAAGUCAAGCUUUUCAUAAGGAGCUAACAUGCAGUGAAUGUCAGUUGAGUCUAGCUUUACUGUGAAUGUGAAAAUUAUCUGCUGCAACGAUGCAACAGCUCCACGUGUUCAGAAUUUCUUUUUUUCACUUAUUUGGUUUUAGAUUUUUUCGUCGCAACUCCCAACUAUGGGUGGUCGCUUCGUUUACUUACUUAUUUGACAGGCAACACUAUGAUUUUUGAAGAAUCAAGCGCUCUUUGAAAAAAAUAAAAUGACGUGCGGUCUACCUGAUUUGUGAAAUUAUCAUUGAGACUUAAGAAUCGAUUUUCCCACUCAAUGUCAUUAUUAUUAUAUUUGAUAGCCAAGCUCAUUAUUAAAAUUGCACUACUCGGUGUCCUGUUGAAACUUGUACCGUUAUAGACAAGCCAAAAUGCAAACUGAAAAACGUUGAAAAUGGGAUGCGGUAUCCCAAUCAUAUAAUGCGACAUUGUAAAGCUUUGGUGUAAAUAUGUGUAAACUUGUAGCCGUGUUAUGUGAUGGUUGCAACUUUCUUUUUAACGUAAAACACUCUUGUCAACACAUGCCAAAGCCCAGAUAGACACUUGCACAGUGUAAAAGCUAUUUAUUCAAGAGAGAUUAAUAUAAUACAAGUUAAACGGUGUUCUUUUAGUGGAACCCUGUACAGUCUCGUCAUACCAAGCUGUGCUGCAUCGUUUUAUCACGAGAAUGUGUAGAUAGCACAGAUGGUUGUAUAACAUAACUAUAUACUAGUGUGCUAGGUUUGCUAGUGGAAGGGGAGAAAGAGAGAAGGAAACAUUUAUUAUACGUCCCCUCGUAAUCAUAUGUAUCGUGACGUCAGCAUGAAUAGCCACUUUUCUGUAGCAUGUCCGAAGACUGUGAGUGUGAAUCUGUUCAUCAAAAAAUACGUGUGCGGGCUAGCUGCUCAGAUCGAUUUGCCCAGACGUUUCUGUAAUAUACCUCGAUAGCUUUUCAAGCAAUGCACUUGGUCUGUUAUUACUGUGCUGCUACGUCAGUAAAGAUAACUGAUACUAAACUCAGGUUUCUUUAGCCUCCUUUUCUUUACUGAAGUUGCAGAGCCGAAAAAAAAAAAAGGAAUACAGUGAAACGAGAUAAUCAUUUAAGAUAAUCAAUUGCGCAAGUUUUCAAAUAAUGUGCGCAGCUGUCGAACAAGCAGCUUCUUUCGGCAUCUAUUGUCCGUCUUUGUCGUAAAAAAUAACCAUUAAAGCAGGCAUGUUUUACAGGUGGUGGAAACAUUGACGGUUAUAUCUCUCUCGUCUUUGAUAGACUCUUGCGAAACUUCUGAGUCGGCUUUCACCUAGAGUGGCAGAGCCUGCACUUUGGGAGAGAGGCACUCACACAAAGUACAGAAAUGUGAACAGCUGCAAUGGCAGUUACAUUUGGUGGCAUUGUUCAAACCAGAAUGUGUUGAAAUGUCAUUUUCUUAAUCUACUUAUUGGCAGGUAGAAGUAUAACAUCAGAAAGUUUGUAGCACUACGACAAUCUUAUGCCAAAAAGAAAUGUUGCUUAGCUCAGCGCCACUCAUGGUGUGAGAUAUAUACUUUUAGGCAGUAACAAAUCGAUCGCAGGUUGCAUGAAAGGCACACUCGGCCAAAUAAAGUAGCAGCAGACUGCACUUGUUGGACCGCUACUGACAAUGACUUGCUAUGUGCAGGAUGAUGCAACUUCCGAAACAAAAAAUUUCUCCUCCCAUUGCUAUAAGAGCCGGUGUUUCACAGGAAAUCAAUUCACUAAUAGAAGGGCACAUGUCUAACUCAGCACGCCUGACCAGUUGUAGGGCACGCAUGAAAACUUUGGUGCCCCUUUCUCUCUUGGCCAGCAACCUGCUUUUGCCGUGCGGCUCAGCUAUUUUUGGUUUCUCCACAAAGAGCCAGCUGCUAUAGGUAUGGGAGACGAAACCUUUUUUGUCUGGCAAUCGCACUGCCUUGCCAAUAAACAGCCGGUCGGAAGAGCGUGUGCCAUUGCUGCUUAUUCUGGUCAGUCGCACCUUGCAUGUCUACUCGCCUAAAGAGUACAUGUGACCCUGUGGUGCCACUUCACCAGAUGUCACCGCUAGUAUUGAUGUUCGUGUUUGUGAGGUAGUGUUCCAAUAGGAUGACAAACACUUAAAGAUGUUUAUACAUACUGAAGUGCUCUGUUGAGGGUUUGUAAAGCAUUCUUUACAAUGGUUCACUACAUUUGGUUGAGUAGUACUGCUGCAAAGGCUUUGUACAUACCCCCAACAGCGUGCUGCGUACGUCGUAUCUCUCUCGAUGAUCGGUUCGCGCCCGUUUCUGACAUGUGCUGCCCACUUGAGCUCUGUCCAUUCACGUCGAGUUUGUAGAUUCUCGGGUGAAAGUUGCUCAAUAAGUGUUUCCUUGCCUUAUGUGCUAAUGUACCAGUGUGCCACUAUAUCUCAGUGGAAAUCUAUUGAAGUGUAUCUUACAGUGUUCCCACGUAUUUUAUAUCUGUUUGUAAGUGUUGAUGUAUGUGUGUGAAAAUGACCACAGCAGUCCAUUACUUGUCAAAAGUUUGGAGUAGAUAUCAUAACACCUUUCCCUUUUGGUCAUGCUUAUUUAUUUUUCUUUGGUUUAUUUACUUCAGUUCCUCUAGUCAAACCAGUGUACUAAUCUUCAGAAGCAUACGCAAUAGAGAUGCUUGGUUCAUGACACGAGGGAAAAUGGCACGCAGCGACAGGACAUUUUUGCUGCUUCAAAGAAUGAACAUUUGGUUGUUAGUCAAUGCCACUGUACGUCCCUUCACGUGUCCUGUUGUGCAUUGUUUUCCCUCAACUAUUGAUCUUGGCAACUUUAACAAAAGGGACUUUCUAAGUUGUCGACUGGCUUCAUGAUGCAAAAAUGCACAUUUGGAUAAAUUCAGUGGUUUAGUUUGUACGAUAGGUGUGUUUGGCAUCGGUACUUUUUCAGUUAUCUCUUGGAAGAGAAAGAAUGCUGUGGUGCAUGUGCAGCAGUCAAGAAAACAAGUGCAGCUUGCCAAGUAGACAGGCAUUGCUGCCUGUCUGCGUAAUUGCCUCCGAGGUCUCUUUUGCUUGUUUUUUUUUUUAUUUGUGAGAAAAGAAUAACAUUCAGGGCUCCAUAAGCAGAUAUCAAGGCUACUGCUGUCCACUGUCUUGGCUCACUUUCAUAACUACCAAGGCUGGUUCGCAGUCAAUUUUUCAUUUAUACCGAAUCAAACAGAGAAGUGCCAAUGCCUGCCUGAGGUGCCGUUGCACAGGCUAGACCAUAGGAACCUCGCACUCAAAAUUGAAUUGCUGAUGAGCCAGCGGCAUACUUAAAAGAUUUUCAAAGGGAUAAUUUCUCCAGUGACUGUGUAACUGCCAGCAAAGGUUUUAGUUGGUGGAAGCCACAGAUAAGACUUCUUGCAGUUCAGACAUUCAGCCUAACUUGAAUUGAAAAGUGAACUUUUUAUCGACCUCUUUUGUAGCAGUGCUGUUAUAUGUGCUGAACUAUUACAAGCGCCAGCAUGUGAGCACUGCAAUUAUGGCAUCAUGCCUUAUCUGCACGCACCUGUAACAGUGCAUACAUUACGUCCUUUGGCUUUGCAAUGUGAGCAGAAAGGUGAAUGAUGGUCAGAUGCGCGAGCACUUAUGGUGCCCCUGAAUUUUUUGGCUGUUUACCGAAGCCACAUGAAAAUUCCGUAUUUUUCUCCACACAUCUUAUCCGAAAACUUGUACAUUUAGAUGCGUGCACCCACUUCAUUGGCAAGUAACCCGACAAAGAAAAAUGAGCCCACAGUGGAAGAUCGUACCAACAGCAGUUGAAUAUCGCGUAUGCUUUUAUUUGAUCAACGCUUAUGUUGAUUGAUAUGAAAGGGUGCGCAAGGAAAAUGCAAAGCGCAGGAAACAUUGAGAAAGGAAUGCUAGAAUUUUAGCAAACUCGCUCCGAAGAAGAUUCUCUUACAUUUUGAAGCUUAUGUUUAGCUUCUACUUGCUCAGGCAUAACUCUAGUUUUGAUGUUAACAACAUUUAUUAAAUGUUGAAUCUGUUCAAUGAACUGUAAUUGAGAUAUAAGAGCUCGCGCUUCUGCUUACGUAGAGAGAAUUGGAUUUAAUGAGAGCAGCAUAGAUAGCAGGCUGGAACCGAAAGACAGUUGACACAGCACUGCACAUUGUCGGCUUUUUUCUAUUCAAUUUCCGUGCUGUUCUCGUUCAAGACGUGCAUUCACAUUGUACAUUUGUCUUUUCUGUCCAUGUAUUUUGUCGCAGAUGAAUUAUGCAUCCUUUCUUGUUUUGGUGCAGGGAAUUCACAUAAGGCUAUGGUUUGGUUUUGACUGUGCUAUGGUUUCGUGCUUUGUGUGUUGUGUUUCUAAUAGAGGGUUUUGUCUUUUAAAGUGCUCACUGUAUUGAUUCCUGGGCUGUUAUGGAUGUGUGACCAGUAUGGUGGUGAGAUUUUGCCUUCCGGUGACUUUGGUUGUGGUUAACGCUACUGCUUUAUUUUGGUCGGUGUGCGGCCCUUAUGGUAAAAAUAAUGUGCAGGGAGUUUGCAUGUUCAACCUAUAUCACUCGCACGUAACCACACUUGUUUGCCAACGUUUUCUUCAUAUACCUCUACAGAAAUCAAGCUGCAGUUUUGUUUUGUUCUCUUUCGUUGCACUAAGUCAUCGUUGUUUCCAACAGAGAUAAUAUAAAUGUUUGCCGCAGCUUUGCUUGAAAGCUGCAGUGUUUGUGAAACCUGAUUAUUUUGCAAAUUCAUAGCUUUGCAUGAAUAGAUCUGGUGUGCAAUUCCACUAGUCGAUCACUAGAACCAAGCCACCAAUACAGAUUCAGAGAUUUAUUUUGCACGAUACACAAGGCUGGCUAUCUUAAGUGUGCUUUCUAGUUGUUCAGGAAGUCCACACUAGCAAAUUUACAUGCUGGAUUAAUUGUCGGGCAGUUCUGUAGCCCUUGUCCACUGCAUUGGCUACCGAAUAUCUGCGAACAGAAUUUGACACAUUGGUUACGAAAGCCCUUUAACUUGACUAAAUCUGUAAUUUUAAUUUCUGGAAGUCAUUAGGCCAUUUGUAGCUCUCAUUAGUCUCCUGUUGACUACCCAGCAAAAAUCUUGCACAAGUGGACUUUGCUAGGAAAAGUUCAAGCCAAGAACAGAAUGAAGAUAGCUAAAUUUUAAUGCUUGGCCAAAUCUGCUUUUAUUUGUGGCUGUACACUGCCGUGUGCACUUCGGAGAAUGUGUCGAACGGCAAAAUACAGUGUGUCUUAGUUUGGUGUGUCAGCAUUUUGCUAUAGUGCUUACUACUAUAUGUCGCAUACAUAUGCAGAGUGAUAAGGUAAGAAUACUUGGAACUUUAUCUUUUAUGGCUCACUUUACAUUUGUUGCUGGGUUUUCUUUGACUUGUAUGUGGUGUGGAACUUGUGACAUCCUUGCUUUCUAUAUUUUGCUUCUUUUUUUCUGUUUCUCUGCGUUCUCUCUAUUCAAGUUCUUAUGCUGCUUCGGAGAGCACAUACAGAAAAUAGUAGCUGUCCUUAGGAAGCUGCCUACAUUAUUCACAUUCAACGAGUACUUAACGUGUGAUGUACUUUAUUCUUGUUGCAUAGUGGACAAAAGACAUCAUUGUUCGCCUGCGUACCUUGUGAACUCUUUAAAACCUACAUCUGUCGCAAAGAAUUCAUGCCUGUGAGGUUUUCUUGCCGUAUCAUUUCAGCAUUGAAAACUAGGCAGAUCCAUAAGCCUAUGUAAUCGUAAACAUUUUUUUUCCCGUGAAAUGCCUAAGGUUAAUGCAGUUAUCAAACAUAUAUCUUCAGGAUUAUCAGGGUAAUGUUUCUUUAUCUGGUACACUGGCAGUGUAGCCAUGGUGACAUUUUCCUCCCCCCCCCCCUUUUUUUUUUCUUAGCAUAAAAUUAUUGGUCUAAAGCACUGUAAAUGUGUUUGUGAUCACGCAUAGGUUUUACUGUGCUCGGAACAAAAGUAGAGUAUAGUUCGCAUCAAGUACGUAGGAUAUUCAUUUUUUCAGUGCACGGAUGUCACCGUGAGUGUUGUGUGUUGGCAUAACGGAAAAGUGUAACAUCACAUAUUUUUUUGUAUUUAUUGCAAUAAACAAUCAAUUUCAUGCACGAUAA
rnacentral:lncRNA from 1 species